GACAUAGGUGGCGAACGUUAUCCGGAAUUAUUGGGCGUAAAGGAUGCGUAGAUGGUAGAAUAAGUUACUGGUCGAUGCCAAACUCAAUUUGACGGAAGCUGGUAAUACUGUUCUGCUCGAGGGCAGGAGAGGUUGAUGGAAUUCUGUGUGGAGCGGUGAAAUGCGUAGAGAUCCGGAGGAACACCAAAGGCGAAGGCAGUGUCCUGGGGAGUACCUGACGCUCAGGUGCGAAAGCCAGGGGAGCGAACGGG
rnacentral:rRNA from 1 species